ACUGCUCUAAGUUCUUGGCAUACUUAUAGGGGCCAAAAACAAACAAAAAAAAUCCCUGUCUAGCAGCCCUUACAUUUUUAUGGAAUGAAACAUAAAAUAAGCAAUAAAAAGAUAAAUUAUAUAUUAGAAAAAGAUUAAAAUGCUACAGAAUAAUAAAGCAGAGUGAUAGUGAUUAGAAAUGUGGAGGCAUCAUAGUUUCCUUAUAAGUUUCAAAAUCUGAAAACUCAGUUUUCUGUGCUCUGUAACAUUCUCAGAAAGGUAUACAUUAGUAUAUUAAGAAAGAAGUCAGGCUGGGGUUGUGGCUUAGUGGUAGAGUGCUUGCCUCAAAUGUGUAAGGCACUGGGUUCGAUUCUCAGCAUAGCAUAUAAAUAAAUAAAAAAAGGUCCAUCAACAACUAAAUUGAAUGAAUAAAAUUUUUUAAAAAGAGGGGCUGGGGUUGUGGCUCAGCAGUAGAGCACUUGCCUAGCACAUGCAAGGCCCUGGGUUCGAUCGUCAGCACCACAUAAAAAUAAAUAAAAUAAAGGUAUUGUGUCCAACUACAACAAAAAAUUAAUAUUAAAAAAAGAAGAAAGAAAGAAGUCAUUGGAGCCCCGUAUGAUUUUUAACUACUCAAUAAUUCACUUUCAGUUCAAAGCAGGUGUCACAACAAAAAGUAAGUUGUAGAAUUCCUGUAAAAGAAAUGCUAUAAUAAACAAAGUCUGUGAUGUCUCCCAUUAUUUGAAUCCCUAACACCUGUUCUUUUUAUUUACCUUACUUUUGUUUUUCAUUUUGGUAAAUACUAUUUCUCUACUAUUUUAAAAACAAAAUAAUUGAACAUAUGUGCAAUUUUAGUUAUAAAACAUUUACAUUUUUUUCAUCAGUGUUAAUGAAGAUAUAAUUGUCUAUGUUUGUAUGCCUGAGAAAAUAGGGAUAAUUUAUUUAACUACCACAGAUGAAUAUGUAUAGCUCAUCUGUUUAAGCUGAGGCUAGAGAAUUAUAAAGGGAUUUACUAGCUUAGGGACAGGAUAGAGACCUUUUGCUUAGCUCUUAAUUUUAUUCAAUGAUGUUACUGCUGUAAUAGUUACACUAGGGGUCAUUGUUAAAGACACUUAAUUUCAAGGCCAUAUACACACAAUAAAUUCAAGACCACAUAGAUAAUUUCAAGAUGCUGUAGAUACUUCUGCCUCCUUUUCUCUACCCUUGAAAAAUAAUUACAAUUAGGAAAACAAAUUAUUAAACUACAAUAGUAAUAGUUUUAGGAAUGUUGUGCUUUUUACUAGCUAAAAUCUCACUCAGCCUUCAUAAUAACAUCAUGAUGCCAGAAAGAUUCACCAGAAACAGGCUUACAGAGGCUGUUUACCAAAGGCACUGACCUACUGGGUCUGAGGGUCCAGAGCACCUUAUGUUGUGCUGAGAUGAAUCCUACAAACAAACAUCUAAGCUAUUUCUGUGUAAGUGGCUUGGUUUUGUUGUCAAAACUGCGACAGAAUUUAAUAGGGCUGACCAAAUCUACAUAUUGUUAUUGUCUAGGUGAGCACUUGUCAUUUAAUGACUAAGCAUCUCUCCUCUUGCUCCACUCUUUCUGUUUCUCUUUCCCAGCCAGGAGCUUAGCUCACCUUGUCUCAUCUCUCCUUUUCAUUCCUGGGAUAGGAACAGAACUAUUAUAAUCUCAAAUAAGGGAAACAAUCAAGUACUAUAACUUCAGUUGCCUUAUUUAAUGUUAUGUUCACUUAGUCUAUAACUCUAAAUUUUUUAAAAAGUGAAACAAUAUCUCUUAUGAUAAUCCUUAAUAAUUCAUGGUUUUUAAGAUUGAAAAACCGGAUAUUAUAAAAUGAAUAUUUCAAAGUCAUAUUUUUUACUAUUUUGUAUAUAAUUUAUGAAUCAAACAAAAAUUUUAGAAUUCAAACUUGUGAAGUGUUCCAGUCUCAAUACUCAUUAUUACAGAAGUAAAAUUGCUAAUGACUGGGUCGUUUUAGUCAUUUACUAUAAGUUAAUGAAUGUCUGGAACAUUAACUGCCAUAGGCUUUGCCUCAGGUUUCCCUUUUCAACUUGUUCGUUAACUAAAUUUACAAAAGAAUAACCUAUUGCAUUUUGUUUUAUGAAACAGUGACAAUAAAAAAA
rnacentral:lncRNA from 1 species